UGGAGCCUGCUUGGGAUUCUGUGUUUCCCUCUCUCCCUGCCCCUCCCCUGCUCACUCUCUGUCUCUCUCUGUCUCUCAAACAUAAAUAAACAUUAAAAAUUUUUUUCUUUUUAAUUAUUAAAAUCCACGAACCUUUUCUUGUUUGUUAUGGAAGCUAGAGUUUGAAUCUAAGGAUAAAUCAUAUAUAAAGAGAAUAAUUGGGCAAGGCUUGCAUGAACAAGGUAAACUGUUGCUAUCUUUAAUUUUAGUUAAAUGCCUGUGAGGUAACAGGGAGGGCCUGGCAGGCCUAAGCAUAAUGUGAGCUAACUGUGAGGCUUCCCCACCUACUGCCCUUUUAGAAUCUCUACACCUUCCCUUCCCCCUUUCCAUUGCUUGACACAGACCCCAGACCUAACAAAAUCCAUUUCCCAUCACCACUUCAUUGUAGGAAACAAAUCGCAUCCAUUAAUUAAUCUUAAGGUAUCAAUAAUUGAUCCUAGUGUGAUGUAUUACCCUUCCCAAAUGUAUUUGCAUAAAAAAUGUAUUACACAACUGAUACAUUUUCAUUGCUGAGAAAUGGAAAAUUCAGAUAAGCAAAAAGAAAACAAACAUGCCCAGUAUCAUCAGGAAGAACCACUAUUACAAAUUUAGUUUCUGUUUCUCAAGCUCUUGUCUGUGCAUGUAUUAACAUUUUGGGGAGACUUCAGCCUUUGAAGUAGGGCGUUCACACCCCUUCCUUCCUCUCUCUCCCUUGCCCUCAGCUGAUCAUCAAGAAGCAGCGGUCCUACGGAACCAGCUGUGGAUAGUAUUACAGAACAUGGCCCCAUUCUUGAGAAAUCCAUGCACUUACAGAGGUUGAUAGGUAGCAGUUAUCAUUUAUUUUUGGAAACUAGUUUCCGUUGAUGCUUAUGUUGACACAGAUCAAGUUGACAUCUUAAAAUAUUUGAUUGGCCACAUCCCAGCUCUUCAAGGGAGGGAUCAACUGUGCUGAGCCUGCUGCAGUAUUACGUCCUACGUGUUUAAUCCCUUCCCUUCCAGAAGCCUUCCUCAGUCCCAUUAGAGUCAGAGGCAAAGACUGAAUUCUUGCAGCCCUUGUCUGUGUCCCUUAAAUGGCCCUGGGUGGCCUUGUAUUGUUAUUUUUGACAUCCACCUUCACAACUGCACAGGGGCCUCGAGGCCACACUUAGAAUCCUAGAUUCUUGUACUGCUUAAGGGAGCCUCGGAGAGGUCCACCCAAGGAGGCUCAAGAGGGCUUAGAUAACUGCCCAAGGCCACAUAGCUUUUAAGUGAGGUAGGACCCAGUGUUCUUUCUAUUCCAGCAGUGUUAGACAUAUUCCCAGAGCUUAUAAGUUAUGAAGUUAUUUAACUUUGCUUAUUUUUUUAUGAUCUAAAAAAUUUGGCCUAAAAUGCCUUUCUGAUCAUCUGAGUCUAUUCAUUAAACUUGAGUCGUCUCUCAAUUUCAUUGUUUGGCUUUGUGUUUUGUAUUGUCCUGUUAGUACUUCUCACUGGUUGGACCAAGAGGUCAGGUAACAGCAAUUAACUUAUAUAAUGCAGUGUGUUUUUUAGGGAGAGGGGUGACAAAGUAGAGGACACUCGGGGGUCCCCACUUUUCCAAAUUUGAGCAACACCACAGAAUAGCACACUACUUGUUCCCUGCAAAUGUGUUUGUUGAUGAUGCAUUUCAGUAAAAAGUAAAUUAAACAUUUUGUUUGGCUUCUCAUUUCUGAUUCAUGGUACUGUACUAACAGUAAAAGGCAAACAAAUUUUUGGCAUUUUUUUUAUUACAUUUUGGGGAUUGGACUGAUAGUGGUACCUGCGGACAUGAUCUCACUAGUGAGAACUUAAGAACUGGAAGUAAGACAUGGGUGUCACUGGUGUCCCCAUGAGCGCCCACGAUUUAAACUGUCUUCAUAAAUUCAGUGCCUGUCCCAGGACCGGACCACAAAUAUUCAUGCUCCCUGUAACAGUGACAUCUGGUGGCCCCAGAGUAAUAGGACAGCAGUUGAGGCCGUGAUCUGUGGAUUUGGGGGAGAUGAGUUUAUUUUAUGUCAUAUAGCAGCUGCCACUCUCACCACAGGAGCUGCUCCUCUUUCCCUGGGAGCCCCUCCCCAUGACACACUUCUCCCUGAUCACCGCAUAUCCAGUUAGCACCUCUGGCCCAAGAACCCUUCAACAUCAUCCCCACUUCCUCGGGGCACCAUCCUCCCAACUGAGCAGUGGACAAGCUAAUGAUAACAGCCUGCGUGGGAAGAAGUGCACUUACCUGUGGGGCCUUGUCAGCUGCCAUUGGUCGUGUUAGGCCGGGCCUGGCCUGGAUUCUGGUGCUCGAGGACCUGUGAUUUACUGCCUCCCUGGGCAGCAGGUGGCCAGGGUAUUUUUAGUGUCUGGGGCCUUUAGCAGGUUUGGGUGGGGGUAGGAAGCAAAGGUGAGGCCUCGGGGAUUCAGCUCUUCCAAGGUUUAAGUUCAAAGCCUCCCACUUGUGGGGUCUCUUCCUUAACUUCCUGUGGGCUUUCAGGCUCCUGGUACAGGGGUCUUCACUUCAGAAACCACGUAUGUUUUCUUGCAUGUCUUUGCCUUUUUCCUUUUCCUAGUCAGUCAGGAAGCGUGAGCUGGAGACCGCGAUACCUUUGGGAUGCCCGGAUUGUUUGGUAUCUAGGAAAGUGACUGGAUAUUAUUAACGCCCUGAGUGCAUACUCAUCCCAUUUCAAAGCACUUCUCCGUGCACUGUGUUAUUGGAUCCUCACGAUGAUCCCGUGAACUCUGUGGUCAGCAACUAUCAUCUAUCUUCCUCGUACGGAAGAACCUGGUGGAGAAAGGUGAGUGAUCACCCGAUGCCACAGGACGUGCACACGGUGGAACCUGAAGCUGGGCUGUCCUGGCUUUGCCACCAGCCGUGCUGAGUUAGAACCCACUUGUGCUGCUCACCAGUGUCGGGAUUCAGGGGAAGAUGUUUAACUUCUCUCCUUAUCCCCAAACUGAGAAUCAUGGUCCUUGGCACAUGCAGCUGUGAGGAUGUCUAAUCAAAUAUGCAAUAAACUGUUCUCAUCCAAAUGAAAGCUCACACGGUCGGGAGCCUGGCUGGCCCAGUCGGUCAAGCAUCUGACUUCGGCUCAUGUUCUCACGGUUCGUGAGUUCGAGUCCUGCUUCAGGUGAGCUUGAGCCCUGCUUUGGGUGAGCCCUGGCUUCUCUCUCUCUCCCUCUCUCUCUCUCUCUCUCUCUCCCACUCCCCCCUCACUCAGUUGCGCCCUCUCUCUCAAAAAAAAAAAAAAAAAUUCUCACACAUUUAUUUGGCUUUGUAUGUGUCCAGGGCCAGGCCCUAAAUAUAUGACACUGCCGCUGCCCUCACACAAGAGACAAUCUCCGAACCAACUAUUAAACUCACCAGGUGCUCAAACCUGGGGCUUCCGAGCAGGCACAUCAGAGGGAGAAAAAAAGGUAAAAAUGGAAAAGGCUGUGUGCCCAGAUGCUUUGUCAAUCGGACCCUCCGAACCUGGAUUUGAGUUCCCUGGUACAACUACUUGGUGCUGCAAAUGCUUUUGUGAUGCCUUGUCCUUGGCAUCUGUUUCCUUUCCAAGGAAACAUUCUGUCUGCGCUUCAGGGAAGAGGGUGUUUUCACCAGCACUUGGAUAGAAUGGUAUCAGCACCAUGAGAGACCUGGAGAGACGGGAACAAUGAAGUGACCGAGCUCUCUGCAGUGAGGGAGUGGGCGAGAGCUACGAUCCAAGUCGAUCCAAGUCAUGCUCUCCUGCAUUUUACCUGGAGCAGCUGAGCUGGACCCCCUGGGCUUGUCCUCUCCACGGCUGCCCCAGCCGUGGAGCCCAGGCAUGCCUCCGUGAGCCGCGAGGUCUCCAGCUGAUGGGGAGGGGCUGCUGUCAGUGUGAUCCUGGUGUUUCACACCAUGGAUCUGUGGGCCCACUGGGUUCCAGCCUCCCGGCUGGGUGCCUACAUACCUUUUCACUGGAUCACUCCCUGCUUUUCUUUGUUUAGUGAGCCAUUUCCCUGGGGGGUGGGCAGAAUCUGUCUCGAGCCUCAGCUCAUUUGCCUGUUGACCCUGAAAGCCUAAGUAGACCUAGCCAGUGAAGAGGACCUUGGCGGUCAGUGGUGGUGUUGGUGCCGACAUAUAAGGAACCAGGUCCUUUCCCUGUGAGUACUGGCCCCCGGUUCCUUCCCGGCCCCCAUGCUGAAAGUGGUUGUUGUCCAUAACUCACUAGUUCAAUGUCAUAUUCUGUGUAGAAAGAGUUCCAUGGUUGUGAUCAGUCUCUAAGAUCGGUGAUUCCCAUCAUCAUAUUAAGAGCUCUGAGAUGUCCUCUAGUGGAAAAACCUGUUUAAUUUCAUCGAACCCAGGAUUUCCCAAGUUUGUUGGACCAUGGAGGGAGGCCUCUUUUCAAGUCAACAGCACUUCCUGUCCUUCAGAUUAGAGCUCCACAGAACCCACUUUGGGAAGCAUAGCUACCUCCUGAGAGCUGUCAGCUGCCUUGACUCAUGGCCGCAUUCCACCCCAGAUGGCAUCUCCUAGGAUACCGAUCCCUCCCCAAAGUGGACCUGAGCUCAUCCCGUCAUGAGCCAGCCCCGGUUGGCCCAUCUCCCCAGUCCUAAUCCCACUCAGCCCUGGCACUCUGCCACGUUCCUGUUUGCCUAAUAGCCAUCCUAGGGCAACAGGAGAGGAGAGAGGAUUCUCCUGUGUCUUCCCAUCUUCACUGUCCACUCAGAUCGACACCCAGAGGGUGCAGUUCACCUUCGAGCUGGGAUCCCAUUGGAGAGUGAUCUGCUUGUUUUUCCUGCUUUCUUCCCUUCUGGUUCCUUAUCCUGUGCUCCCUGACUUCUGCUUGGAAUGCCCUGGGCCUGGCAGGAACCUUUUAUUAGGUGAGCAGGUCUCAUACAGCUUCAUUCCUGAUUUGGAAGACUUUAGCCCUGGUUAUCCUGGCUGGCAGUCUGAAAAUGUCUUACUCCAUUUUUGUUUUUUCUUAAAUGCAAACCAGUUGUCGACCACAGCCCUCAAAUAUACCUGUCCUUCCUCUCUGGUUUUCCUCCUGUCCAUAGUCCCACACAGGAUUCUCACCACCCAGUCUCUCCCACCUGUCAGCCCUGGUCCAAGAAGAGCCAACACUGCUGCCUGGAUGGGGAUGCUUAUUAUGGGCCUGGGUGUGAUUAGGUCCCAGCGGGUCCUGUCCAACCAAGGUGCAUUUCCCCCUCUGCUUCAUGAUGGUUUCUUCCUCUCUGCUUUGUGAUCAUCAUACUGGAGCCUCUGCUUUGAGUCCAUCCCAGGAUCUCUGGCCUCUGAAUUCCAUUGCCUGCUCUUCGCCUCUUUCUAAAACCUGCUCUCAGCACACCAUCUAAUCCUUGCGUUCACGUUGGAUCAACAAAACAUCGCCAGGAUGGGAAAGAGUUUUGUGGCCAGGGACACCCCAAGAACAUGUGAAAAUGGAACACCAAGGAAUGUCAGAAUUUAAAAGUGCAAUUUCACACAACUUAAAACUGAGAAGUAGCCAAUGUCACUGUGCCCUCCCCCUCCACAUCCAGGGGGGCAUAUUCCCUUGACAUGACUGCAUUUAUGUUGGACUCUCUUGGGUUUAAAGGGUAAAGCAUACGCUUAAGUAAGGUAGGAUAUCUUUGCCAUCUGCCACACCUUUCUGAAGCUAUAACUCCUUUCCUUAGCUCAUAAAUGAUUUAAGCUGUUUUCCUGACUCAUACUUGGAAUACCAUCCCUGAGCAUUAUUUUAUAAGCUUGUGAAAUCUUGAUAUAAAACAGUUCAGUGCCUGUGUUAGUCAGCUAGCGCCAAGGGGGUAAAAAAAAAAAAAAAAACCCCACAAAAGUCUCCUCAGUUCAAUGCAACAAUAAGCAUUUGUCUUCAGAGCUCUGUGUGUUGUCUGGGAUUUGGCUGAUCUGAAUUGGGCUCAGCUGGUCAACUCUGCUCCGCCUGCAAUGGCUGAGUGGCUCUGCCUCUCACAUCAGGUCUCUGGACCACGUUGGUGGCUUUGCUCUACAUGUCUCUCAUCCUGUCCUCCUUAGCAGACUAACCAAAGCUUGUUCUUCUGAUGGUGCCAGCAGAAGCAGAAGAGAGAAGCCCCAGUGUGCAAAACCUUGCAUCCCUGCUGCGUCACGUCUACCACCAGCCAUUGGCCAAAGAAAGUCACAUGGCCAAGCUCAAAGUCCCCGCGAAAGGACACUCCAUCCAUGAUGAGGCCAUAGUAAGGGAGUGGGUGGAGAAAGGAGUGAAGAACUGGGGCCGAUAGUACCACCAUGCUCACCUGAGGUACAUAGGAAAGGGCUAAAGGGUUUCUUCUGACCAUUGCUACAGCAGCAUUUUGUUGCAGAGAUGCUCCAGGGAACCCGGGAGUCCUGGGAAACUCUUGAAGUUCUCUCCUGGGAAGCUCUUCAAGAUGCUCACAGGCUCCCUGAGCCAGAGAACCAGGACGCCACCCAGAGUGUUCCCGAGGAGUGUAGAGGGAGCAGGCAGCAGAAAGGCAACAUGGCGACCAAGUAACUCUUCCAUGGCUAAGGGUGGUGAACCUUUAUACUCUGACAAAUGUGCACCAACAAAAGCACUGAGGGAGUGAGAGCCCCUGGAGCAGCCAGGUGUCUCACACCAUCCUCAACUGGGUAAUGCCUCCAGAAAAUAAACCAACGGCAUCCUACCAGGGAGCACGGGGACAGUUGCCUGGCGUGAGUAAAAUAGUGAAGGAGUCUGAGGGUCUGUCUCUGCAUAUGGGCUUCCCAGCAAUUCCGUUUUCAGCCCCAUUUUGAAGCUCCCUGGUAUUUCAGGUCUGGAGACCGCUUGGGGUUUGGUGCAGCUAAUCACUUGCUAAUCACUGUGAGGCUAUAGAGCGUGGUCUCUGGGCCACACCUCUGCAGCUUCUGCUGUGUGACCUGGGCAAGUUAUCUAACCGGUCUGUGCUUCAUCUCCAAAAUCAGGGCAAAAAUUCUAGCAUUGUUGGGGGAUUAUAUGACUUAAUGCACCUUCAACACUUAGACUAGGGCUUAGCACAGAGGAAGUCCUUUGAGCUACACACACACACCCCAAAGCCCAGCCAACUUAGGUUUCCACUUUGUCUGGUCUAUGAGAUCACUUUCCAUCUUCCAUAAUAGUAUUGCUAUCUCAAGCCUGCUACCCUCUCUUCCGUUUUCUUUGUCCUUGUGGGGUUUGGCCCUUUUUUUUUUUCUUUUUUUUUUUAAUCCCUUUGCCCUCCUGCUGAUGAGGUUUGGGCAGAUAGUAGAGUUACAUGUAUGUUGUAUUUCAAAACCUUAAACCACAAGUCUCCACAGCUUUCUUUCUUUGUCCCUGCUAAUGACCCCCUUCAGGUAGUAUAUUAAUCAUAUUCUAGGCUGAAUUCACUGGAGUGUUUCAAGCAGAGCCUGGGGAGUGAGUGUCCAGGCUUUUCAAUCAGGUCUGGAACUAGCUCUUAAUGUUAAUCUAGAAAAUGGCUGAGAAGUGCCCCAAGAUGAAUCUACUGGUUGAACUCCUUUCUGAAAUCUGAGUCAUCACCACUGGCUGAGGGGAAGGAAGGGCUCGUGGCAUGACAGGCCACCUCAAAGCUUGUGUAAGAACCUUGUGACCCACGGCUGUGUCAGAACAAAAACAACCAGCGGUCUUCUCACCCCCACAGCCCAGAGCUCUUGAUUCCUAGGGAUCAUCUGAUCCCUGGAGAACUUAAUCUUAUCCCUAAGUGGUAGAAGGGUGGAUCUUUGUGAAUGUCUUACUUGAAGAGUUUGGAAUGCUGGUUUAAAAGAAUGAACUCCCUCCCCAGCUAAGAUCAGGCCCAUGGAAUUCUGUGAGCUUCAGUUCUUCCACCUGGGUCAUGGUGUUGGCUGCACUUGGAGAAGCCCUGCUCAAAGUGCAGGAUACAACUGAGGAAAAAGUGGCUUUUCCAAUUAAAGAAUGACACUACCUUCUGGCUACUUGUCUCUUUUACUUUAGCACACUCUACUGACAGAAGUAAAAGCGCUUGGACUACUUAUUUUCCAUUUUCCAUCCCCCACCGUUGUCUACUCUGCUCUACACCCUGGGAGGCCAGCCUCUGAUGGAGAGCAUGGGAGGGUGGGAGGAAGGAGAAUCCAGAUUGUUAAUCCCCUGCUCACUCCCCAUUCCAGAGGGGUGUUCCCAGGCUAACCAGUCAGCUCUCCACUCCUGGGCUCAGGGCCAUCUUUUCUAAGUAAGAAAAGGUGAGAAGGUGGCAGUCCCACACACCCAGACCUUCCCUCGGGGGCCUUCUUUCUGCACACAGUAGGUCCUUGCUGUGGGAACAAUGAGAGGCAUGUGGCCCACAUUCACAUGGCCUCAAGCAAAGUUGUGAAGUUCCAGCUUUUUCCUUUCUGGGAGCACUUCUUAUGUUUUUCAACUGUUCUCAACUUUAAGCUUUGCUUUCUUAGCAAAACCUCUCCUGCAAAGAUUUUGAGAACUCAUUCCCAUUAAAGUGCAGAUAACUAACUAUCCUUGCUGCCCUUCUUCUGGUAAAUUUUCUUUUAAAAACUAAGUCCAAAGGAUGAACCUGUAAACGUAGAAUUUCAAAGAGAAGUGGAAUUGAGUGUGGGAUUCAAUUUCCAGUCUUCUGAAAUCAUUCCUAUGCGUUCAACCUACUAGUCUUUAUAAGAGGAGGGUGUAUUUAAAUGUGGUGGACAAAGCAUAAUGCAUAAACUUGUUCAAUAACUAUGUUGUACACCUGAAACUAAUGUAGCAUUGUGUGUCAGCUAUACUCAAGUAAUAAAAAAAGAAAGUGCAUGGAGGAGAUACUAAUUGUAGGCUUCCAGCACUCAUAGUGAACGUGCUCUGGGCCAGGAAGGGGCAGAAGAGAAGCACUGAAAUAGAGAUGUUAGUAGAUGUGGUAAGAAGGCAGAUGGAGGCUAAGUGUCCAGAGUUUCAGAAUUCAGAAGAGCUAUCUUGCUGUCUUUUGACCUCAGUCCCAUUCCUUCCCCCCACCCCCCAGCCACUCUCUCACCAGCAGUGACACCCUCUUUACUCCAGAACAAGUCUGGGUCUGGAAAAUCCUAAGGGUGGCAGAAGGGAUCUGCAAGAAAAGUCUGGGCCCCCAGAACUCUGUGUUUCAUAUGCAUUUUAGCAUGACUUCAUUGUUGUCCCACAUCGAAAGCUGGACUACAUGUUAGAGGCCAGGGACCACGUGUCUCCUUCGUCCUGUAGCUCUUGUACAUAGUUCAGUGUUUUGCACAUAGUGGGUGCUCAAGAGAUGCGAGUUGACUACAUGGACGCAUUACCACACUGAAUUCUCACAAGAACUUUGUGAGGUACCCCCUAUUAUCAUUCCCAUUCUGUAGAUGAGGCAGCUGGAACUUCAUUGGGUUCGGGCGCCUGGGUGGUGCAGUCGGUUAAGUGUCCGACUUCAGCCAGGUCACGAUCUCGCGGUCCGUGAGUUCGAGCCCCGCGUCAGGCUCUGGGCUGAUGGCUCAGAGCCCGGAGCCUGUUUCCGAUUCUGUGUCUCCCUCUCUCUCUGCCCCUCCCCCGUUCAUGCUCUGUCUCUCUCUGUCCCAAAAAUAAAUAAACGUUGAAAAAAAAAAAAUCUGCCCCAGGUUACCCAGUUGGUGAGGCACAGAGCUGGUGUACUAGUCAGUUCUGACUGACUUUAUGGCCAGACUCCAAGCCAGUGCACUUGACUGCGUUUAGACAAUACCGAUUUGAGCAAAGUGGAGGGGGGUGGGCGAGGUGCUGUAGCUCCAUCUUGGUAGUGAUUCUCUCAUGGAAGAAUUUUUGUAACCCUGAAAAUCUUUAUGUACAUUUCUUUAUAUUCUUUAUAUUUUCCCUCCUGGUUAGGUUAACAUUUAGUGAAGUUUGUGGAAUUCAAAAAGCUGCUGCUUUUACGAGCCGUGUGGGAAAGGGAUGCAGGGGUCACGCUUCACCACACCAAGAAAUCCUUCUCUCAGUUUCUCAUGGAAGCCAUGUGUUAGAGAUAGUGGGACCACAAAACAGAAGGAAACUUGGUCCCUGAAUCAUGUCUUGGAGGGCAGCUUUGUGCCUGUUAAGAACUGUCCUUCUGGAUUUUCUGUAACAUCACCUUCAAUAUUCUAAACCAAUGAGAAUACUCUUACUAUCCUCCUCAGCACCCUGGUGUCAUUCCAAGAAGUCACCGAGUUACAUUCUAAUAUCCAGAGGACCAAUCCUGCUUCACAGUUAAUCGCAGCCAAAAUUCUAGCUCCCUAGAAGGCGAAAGACCUCAUAAUUCCUACCAGAAGCUGGUGGCUUCCUAAACAAACCAUGUUGCUCCUGGUGGUGUUGCCAUUGCUAACAAUAAAAGGGUAUUUUAUGCAGAAGGUGAUCUUAUGGAGGAGUGACAUAGACACUCACGAGAGGUGUUGUGCUUGGAAGGGUCUCAUGCUGGUCUAGGGAGCAGAGUGGGUUUAUCUCUUUAUGCCAUCUGUUCAGCGUAGCAUCUGCCUGAAUGCAGGGGAAGAAAUCAAUCAGCAGAGUACUUUACUACUUUACUUUAGUCAGGACCAAGAUACUUGUUUGCUUAUUUAUGUGUUCUUGGGUUGAUGGAAAAAAGGAAUUAGAACAAAAAUUAUUUUCCAAUUCUCCAUUGCCACUUCUCUCAAUCUUCCCUAGUCCUUGUUUAUGCCAUGUUUAUUUAUCCCAGCCACAAGAACAGAAAUUAUCUCCCAAGUAGGUGGCUCAAUAAUAAUUGAGGUUGUAAAACUCAUUGUGACUGAUCAUGUUUACCUGUUUGGUUAUCUAAUUAAACUCAAGGUGGACUCUCUCUUUAGGUAGAUUCUAUAUUUUAUUACAUUUGUAAAAUCCUAAGACACUUAUGCAAUCCUCAAUUCUCAAAAAUGAUUAUAUUGUUUUUGCAGCUGUCAGAACAGAUAGAUGUCUGAGUAUUACUAUUACAUAAACAGGUAAACAAUCUUAUAGAGUGAUCUAAAUGUUCCCGUUCUAUGAGUUGGUGGUUCUCCGUGUUAUUUCUCUCCAUCUUGACCGGCUCCAGAAAAAGAAAAGGUGGAUGCAAUCUGGGUGCUCCCAUCUGUUUUUAUUCUCUCAGAAGAACUAAUAUUCAAGUCUUUGAGGAAGUAACUGAAAUCUCUUUUAAUUUUGCUCAUCCAGUAUCAAGAACGUUCCAGUGGCCUAUGAAAAACAAAUGUCUGCCUAAGGGACCUUUGGACCUUUUCUUGGCAAAGAAAAUCGUGUUAAGAGGUUGGACUCCAUCAGGCGUUAGCUAGCCUAGCUGAAGGAAGUGGUACUGAAUUGGCUGACCCAUACCUGGCCAAAUCGAAACUCACAGAAGAGCACAGUGGAGGAAAAGGGAGCAAACAAAAGACAGUGUUCUCCUAAUUUUCCAUUUCCUGAGAGAUCACUUUUAAAAUGAAAUUCCGAAGCCCCCAAGAGUGAUUAGAAUUGUUCUCCUGUGGCCCACAUUCUUGAAGAUACUUUUUACCAGCAUAGUCAUCUGUUAGCAUGAACAUGAAGAGGAGUCCUCCCUCCACCCUGGAGAGCUCAAGUGGGAAAGCUUAAGUUUCAACAAGAUUGCUUAGAAAGUUAUGCCAAGACGUUUGGACUUUAUUCUGUGGAGCGAACUGGAGUUUUCAAAGAGCCGUGCAAUACCUAACCAAGAAGAUUGUGGUCUCCAUAGAUGACAGGCUAGAGCAGUAUGAAGCUCUCCCGGCCUCAGUUUACUCAUUUAUAAUAAGAAAAGGGUUGGGGCGCCUGGGUGGCGCAGUCGGUUAAGCGUCCGGCUUCAGCCAGGUCACGAUCUUGCGGUUCGUGAGUUCGAGCCCCGCAU